rnacentral:rRNA from 1 species
GCGAAAUUCCUUGUCGGGUAAGUUCCGACCUGCACGAAUGGCGUAACGACUUCCCCGCUGUCUCCAACAUAGACUCAGCGAAAUUGAAUUACCUGUCAAGAUGCAGGUUUCCCGCGGUUAGACGGAAAGACCCCGUGCACCUUUACUACAGCUUCACACUGGCAUUAGGCCGAACAUGUGCAGGAUAGGUGGUGGGCUUUGAAACUUCGACGCCAGUCGGAGUGGAGCCUCCCUUGAGAUACCACCCUUGUUCUGCUUGAUGUCUAACCGCGGUCCGUUAUCCGGAUCCGGGACCCUGUGUGGCGGGUAGUUUGACUGGGGCGGUCGCCUCCUAAAUCGUAACGGAGGCGCGCGAAGGUUGGC